GAAAUGCGAUAAGUAAUGUGAAUUGCAGAAUUCAGUGAAUCAUCGAAUCUUUGAACGCACCUUGCGCUCCUUGGUAUUCCUUGGAGCAUGCCUGUUUGAGUAUCAUGAAAUCUUCAAAGUAAAUCUUUUGUUAACUCAAUUGGUUUCUACUUUGGUAUUGGAGGUCUUUGCAGCUUCACACCUGCUCCUCUUUGUUCAUUAGCUGGAUCUCAGUGUUAUGCUUGGUUCCACUCGGCGUGAUAAGUUAUCUAUCGCUGAGGACACUGUAAAAGGUGGCCAAGGUAAAUGCAGAUGAACCGCUUCUAAUAGUCCAUUGACUUGGACAAUACUUUUAUGAUCUGAUCUCAAAUCAGGGAGGAAUACCCGCUGAACUUAAGC
rnacentral:misc_RNA from 1 species